AUGAAUUCUGAUCAUUUAGAGCCCUGUUGGUGUGCGUGGCACUGCACAGUUAAAAGUCAGAGUGAAAAACUCUGUCCCUUUUCCAAAGGCAUUGCAUGCAAAGUCUAGGCAGAGAAAGCAAGAGAAAGCAUAAGAAAGGCAGAAGAUAAGGGAUUGGGACUGAUCAUUAGAUCUUUGUAUGCAUCCAAGAACAGAGGAGGACAAUUCAGUAAUUCCUUUAAGAAUGAAGCUUGCUCGACAUCUGCUUUGCAAGGAAGCAUGCUGAGUAUCUGGUGCAAGUGGGAAGGUGUCUAGGAGUCAGGACUAAGUGGGAGAAGUGAAAUACCUGGUGAGAAAGGAAAUUUGCUGGAAAGGCUUGGAGUUGGUGACUGCAAACUGCCUUUGGCUGCGUGCACCCUUGGGUUUCCUGUGUUAGUGAAGGUUUGGAUGCCUGCAUGGGUUGUUAACAGCAGUACAAUUAGCCAGUCCAAUAUCAUCAUCUUCCUAGUGUUGAUCUUUAUUCUUAGAGGCAUCUUUUGGUGGAAAACCUCCAGUACUGUCAUGGAAAGGACAUGCAAGGGGUAUACAAAGAAACCGUCCCUUGGGCAAUUCUUUUUUCCCCACCCACUGAGUCCUGUGGUACUUUUUUCAGCCUGGUGUUCACACUCCUUGGCCCCACCUGCUGAUCAAUACGUGUUUACACUGUUGAAAAGGUGGUGAGGCUCAACCUACUGAGGCUGCUGUUCAUCACAACGCAGGGAAUUCCAGCUCGCUAGGGCAGGUGUGUGGUCCCACCGUCAUGUUGCCUUUCACCAGCCUCCUGUCUUGUGGGAGCCCAGCCCUGUCACCUGCUAGCGAAGGUGCUUGCUCUUGUCUCUGCUCCUGACCCACGGAUGGACCCUGCUUGCAGCACUUCAGCAAUUUGGCAAGAGAAGGCCAGGAUGAGGAUCCAGGCCAGCUCUGUGACUCUGCAGGCCUGUGCUGUCCCCUGGGAAGGGUCCUGCUGCUACACUGGCCACUGGUGACCUCGCAGGGGACAUGGAACCGCUGGAUGUCACAGCACCACAGGGAGCAGAGAAGGGUGCAACAGUAUCACGAGCCAAGGUGGAAGGAGCAGAAAAAGUAGCAGCAACAGAGGAGGUGGCAAGCCCAGAGGGAGCGGAUCUGGGUAGAAAGGUGGUCACUCCUGAAGGAGCAGCAGCAAUAGUGGUGGAAGCAUCAGAAAACCUAGAGGCGGAAAGCGUUACUGAAGCAUUUGCCCGAGCAGCAGAAAGGAUUGCAAUAUCAGAAGUAGCAAAAGUGUUGCAGUCAGCAAUAACUGAGCUCAAAGAGAAGAGAAGCACGUGGCUAAAGCCAAGGAAUACCACUCCACAGGAGGAGGAGUAGGACUGGAUGAAAGAGGGAGAGGUGAAAUGAAAUGAAGGAGAGGUGAUGUUCUGGGUCAUACCUAACAGGGGGCUGGUACCCUGACACUGUGACCGUUCCUGGAAUGCAAUAGGGCUGCCAAUUACAUCUCUCUUGUCACUGCCUAUACUACUGAAAAUAAAGAUGUGCCAUAUUCCACACA